rnacentral:rRNA from 1 species
GACGAACGCUGGCGGCGUGCUUAACACAUGCAAGUCGAACGGAAAGGCCCUGCUUUUGUGGGGUGCUCGAGUGGCGAACGGGUGAGUAACACGUGAGUAACCUGCCCUUGACUUUAGGAUAACUUCAGGAAACUGGGGCUAAUACCGGAUAGGAGCUCCUGCUGCAUGGUGGGGGUUGGAAAGUUUCGGCGGUUGGGGAUGGACUCGCGGCUUAUCAGCUUGUUGGUGGGGUAGUGGCUUACCAAGGCUUUGACGGGUAGCCGGCCUGAGAGGGUGACCGGACACAUUGGGACUGAGAUACGGCACAGACUCCUACGGGAGGCAGCAGUGGGGAAUAUUGCACAAUGGGCGGAAGCCUGAUGCAGCAACGCCGCGUGCGGGAUGACGGCCUUCGGGUUGUAAACCGCUUUCGCCUGUGACGAAGCGUGAGUGACGGUAAUGGGUAAAGAAGCACCGGCUAACUACGUG